UACAGAGGGUGCGAGCGUUGUCCGGAAUCACUGGGCGUAAAGGGCGCGUAGGUGGCGACCCAAGUCGAUGGUGAAAGCUCGCCGCUCAACGGCGAGUCGUCCACCGAUACUGGGUUGCUGGAGCACUGUAGAGGCUCAUGGAAUUCCGGGUGUAGCGGUGGAAUGCGUAGAGAUCCGGAAGAACACCGGUGGCGAAGGCGGUGAGCUGGGCAGUUGCUGACACUGAGGCGCGACAGCGUGGGGAGCAAACAGG
rnacentral:rRNA from 1 species